AGGAAUUGGACCUGGUAGUCCAUGCUAUAAACAAUGAAUAUUAAAUAUUAAAUUUAAUAAAUUACAAUAUUUUAUGAAAUUUAUUUUUAUAAAUAUUUUGAAUAUUUCGAGAAAAAUUUAAUAUUAUAAGUUAACACGUUAAAUAUUCCGCCUGGGGAGUAAAACCGCAAGGUUGAAACUCAAAGGAUUUGACGGGAGCUUAUACUUACGGUGGAGCAUGUGGUUUAAUCCGAUAGUCCGCGUGGAAUCUUACCAAUUUUUGACAAUUUAUAGUUUUAUAAAUAAUACAGGUGUUGCAUGGCCGUCGUUAGCUUAUGUUGUGAAAUUUAUGAUAUAAGUAUAACCCUUAUUUUAAUUUGCUAAUAUUUAAAAGUUAAAAUACUUUUGUAUUUUAUAGUAAAUAUGCACUAUUAAAAAACAAAAAUAUUUGAUAAUAUUUUUAAAGGAUGAAGAAAGGUCGUUAUGACCCUUAUAAAUUGGGCUACGCGUGUAGAUCA
rnacentral:rRNA from 1 species